GGUCAUAAAACUAAUCCCGGAAAUGCCCAAAACUCCUAUGAAAGCCUAGUCAAAUAUGUGUUUCUUUAGGUUCAUGGUACAGAGGAAGGGUCACACUACCACCAGGGUCAUAAAACUACCCCUGGAAAUGCCCACAACUCCUAUGAAAGCCUUGUCAAAUGUGUGUUUCUUUAGGUUCAUGGUACAGAGGAAGGGUCACACUACCACCAGGGUCAUGAAACUAACCCCGGAAAUGCCCACAACUCCUAUGAAAGCCUUGUCAAAUGUGUGUUUCUUUAGGUUCAUGGUACAGAGGAAGGGUCACACUACCACCAGGGUCAUGAAACUACCCCUGGAAAUGCCCACAACUCCUAUGAAAGCCUUGUCAAAUACGUGUUUCUUUAGGUUCAUGGUACAGAGGAAGGGUCACACUACCACCAGGGUCAUAAAACUACCCCUGGAAAUGCCCACAACUCCUAUGAAAGCCUUGUCAAAUAUGUGUUUCUUUAGGUUCACGGUACAGAGGAAGGGUCACACUACCACCAGGGUCAUAAAACUACUCCUGGAAAUGCCCACAACUCCUAUGAAAGCCUUGUCAAAUGUGUGUUUCUUUAGGUUCAUGGUACAGAGGAAGGGUCACACUACCACCAGGGUCAUAAAACUACCCCUGGAAAUGCCCAAAACUCCUAUGAAAGCCUUGUCAAAUGUGUGUUUCUUUAGGUUCACGGUACAGAGGAAGGGUCACACUACCACCAGGGUCAUAAAACUACCCCUGGAAAUGCCCACAACUCCUAUGAAAGCCUUGUCAAAUGUGUGUUUCUUUAGGUUCACGGUACAGAGGAAGGGUCACACUACCACCAGGGUCAUAAAACUACCCCUGGAAAUGCCCACAACUCCUAUGAAAGCUUUGUCAAAUAUGUACUUGACCGACGAAAUGUUUAGUAAUGCGACCUUAAUGAUCCUCCUCCUCCUC